AUGUGUCUGAAUUUCUCUUCAGUUCAUCAGCAGGAACCCAAAGCUGAAGAUGUCGAGAGUGAAGACAGUUCUUACGCAAGUGAAGAUGCAGAUCAGGGUAAUAAGGAACAGUUGGAUGGUAUGAGGGGAGAACACCAGCCCAGUGCUUUAUGGGAUACUAGAGGAACCAGAGAACGAGGUGAACUUGACCAAGUAAAAGGGAAGAAAACUUACAACAACUCUGGGAACCCGAAACCUCAACAGGAAGGGAUGGCUGACGGCAGGUCUUUGGGAAGAGAGGGUAGUGUUUCACCAAGACAUCUGACAAGAAGUCCAAGAAGUACUGACAGGGCACGACCACAUGCUGAGGAAGAUGAAGAGGAGGAAAAGAAAACUGUAGGUAGCCAAGCCAGAAAUCUCCGUGUAGCUCCCCCUCUGCAGGGCAAACCCUCCCGACCUGCGACCCGCCAUAACGGAGACCUCGAGUCUGUCUUUGAUGAUAGUACUUUAAGUGAGCUAUCGGAAGAGGACAGGAGGUCCCCAUCUUCAAGGCGUAAGAAAGAGCAGAGUACUGGAGAGCUGGAGAUGGCAGAUGAUUUUGAAGAUCUCACCCAGUCUUCUGACACAGCCACUGAGGAGCUGGAGACUCCAGUAUCUGGAUACCACAAUGCAUCUCUGCUCUUCAAACAGCUCGACUCCAGUUAUCUGGGUGAGUCGGUCAGCUCCAGUCGGCUGAAAGCAAACAGUUAA
rnacentral:lncRNA from 12 species